AUCUGGCUCUUUCAGAGUCCGAGUUGUAAUUUUGAGAACUGUUUUCCGUGCUGGACCAUUUCUAAGUCUGUUGAAAAAUAGCAUCAUUGAGGGUGAUAAUCCCGUUCAUGAUAUGGACUACCAGUUGCAAUGUGAUACAGUUUUUAAGAGUCGAGUUGUUUGGGAAUGCAGCUCAAAGUGGGUGGUAAAUUCCAUCUAAGGCUAAAUAUAGGUGAGAGACCGAUAGCAUACAAGUACCGUGAGGGAAAGAUGAAAAGAACUUUGGAAAGAGAGUUAACAGUACGUGAAAUUGUUGUAAGGGAAACAUUUAAAGUUAGCCUUGUGCUUGUUAGUUCAGCUCUUUUACUAGGGUGUAUUCUAAUGAUGUCACGGACCAACAUCAGUUUUUGGGUGCUGGAUAAGGGUUCCAGAAAUGUAGCAGUCUUGGCUGUGUUAUAGUCUGGGAUUUGGAUACAGUGCUUGGGACUGAGGAUAUUUGCGGCAAGC
rnacentral:rRNA from 1 species